GAUGAAGAACGUAGCGAAAUGCGAUAAGUAGUGUGAAUUGCAGAAUUUAGUGAAUCAUCGAAUCUUUGAACGCACAUUGCGCCCUUUGGUAUUCCUUAGGGCAUGCCUGUUCGAGCGUCAUCUACACCCUCAAGCACAGCUUGGUGAUGGGCGCCUGUCCCGCCCCCCACGGGGGCGCGGACUCGCCUCAAAUGCAUUGGCGGCCGGCGACCUGGCUUCGAGCGCAGCAGAAACGCGUACUCGGGGACCGGGCGCCCGCUCCCAGAAGCCAACCCACCCAGUUUGACCUCGGAUCAGGUAGGGAUACCCGCUGAACUUAAGCAUAUCAAUAAGCGGAGA
rnacentral:misc_RNA from 1 species